rnacentral:rRNA from 1 species
CACGCGUAGAGUUAGAUUUUGGUUCUGAUUGAGCGCUGGCGGCAUGCGCAUGCCUUGCACGUCGAACGGCAGCAUGAUCUAGCGUGCUAUCUUGAUGGCGAGUGGCGAACGGGUGAGUAAUACAUCGGAACGUGCCCUGUAGUGGGGGAUAACUCGUCGAAAGAUUAGCUAAUACCGCAUACGAUCUGAGGAUGAAAGCAGGGGAUCGCAAGACCUCAUGCUAUAGGAGCGGCCGAUGUCUGAUUAGCUAGUUGGUGAGGUAAAGGCUCACCAAGGCGACGAUCAGUAGCUGGUCUGAGAGGACGAUCAGCCACACUGGGACUGAGACACGGCCCAGACUCCUACGGGAGGCAGCAGUGGGGAAUUUUGGACAAUGGGCGAAAGCCUGAUCCAGCAAUGCCGCGUGCAGGAAGAAGGCCUUCGGGUUGUAAAGCGCUUUUGUCCGGAAAGAAACGGCUCUGUUUAAUACAGGGGGUUGAUGACGGUACCGGAAGAAUAAGCACCGGCUAACUACGUGCCAGCAGCCGCGGUAAUACGUAGGGUGCAAGCGUUAAUCGGAAUUACUGGGCGUAAAGCGUGCGCAGGCGGUUAUGCAAGACCGAUGUGAAAUCCCCGGGCCCAUUUUGGGAACUGCAUCGGUGACUGCGUUGCUAGAGUACGGCAUAGGGGGGUAGAAUUCCACGUGUAGCAGUGAAAUGCGUAGAGAUGCGGAGGAACACCGAUGGCGAAGGCAGCCCCCUGGACCAGCACUGACGCUCAUGCACGAAAGCGUGGGGAGCAAACAGGAUUAGAUACCCUGGUAGUCCACGCCCUAAACGAUGUCAACUAGUUGUUGGGGAUUCACUUCCUUAGUAACGAAGCUAACGCGUGAAGUUGACCGCCUGGGGAGUACGGUCGCAAGAUUAAAACUCAAAGGAAUUGACGGGGACCCGCACAAGCGGUGGAUGAUGUGGAUUAAUUCGAUGCAACGCGAAAAACCUUACCUACCCUUGACAUGCCACUAACUAACCAGAGAUGCAUUAGGUGCCCAAAAAAAACAGUAAACACAGGUGCUGCAUGGCUGUCACCAGCUCGUGCCGUAAAAUGUUGGGUUAAUCCCCGCAACGAGCGCAACCCUUGUCUCUAUUUGCUACUAAAGGUCACUCUACAAAUACUGCCGGUGACAAACCGCAGGAAGAUGGGGAUGACGUCAAGUCCUCAUGGCCCUUAUGUGUAGGGCUUCACACAUCAUACAAAGAUGCAUACAUACGAAUGCCUACCCACCAGCUGGAGCUAAUCCCACACAAUGCAUCGUACUCCGGAUCGAACUCUGCAACUCAACUACCUGAAUCUGGAAUCACUCGCAAUCACGCAUCAAUAUGACUCGCUGAAUACAUUCCUGCCCCUUCACGCACCGCCCGUCAGACCAUGCAAGUGAGCUUUACCUGAAGUAAUUAGCUUACUCACACGCAGGGCGAUUAACUACCUAGGCUUCAUUCCUGACUGGAAUCAUACCAAGAAAACCGUAAA